rnacentral:rRNA from 1 species
UGGGGAAUUUUGCACAAUGGGGGAAACCCUGAUGCAGCGACGCCGCGUGAUUUAGAAGGCCUUCGGGUUGUAAAAAUCUUUUCUAUGGGAAGAAAAUGACAGUACCAUAGGAAUAAGGACCGGCUAAUUACGUGCCAGCAGCCGCGGUAAUACGUAAGGUCCGAGCGUUGUCCGGAAUCAUUGGGCGUAAAGGGUACGUAGGCGGGUAAGCAAGUUAGAAGUGAAAUCCUAUAGCUCAACUAUAGUAAGCUUUUAAAACUGCUCAUCUUGAGGUCAGGAAGGGAAAGUGGAAUUCCUAGUGUAGCGGUGAAAUGCGCAGAUAUUAGGAGGAAUACCGGUGGCGAAGGCGACUUUCUGGCCAUAACCUGACGCUGAGGUACGAAAGCGUGGGUAGCAAACAGG